GUCCCAGCAGCCGCGGUAAGACAGAGGUGGCAAGCGUUGUUCGGAUUUACUGGGCUUAAAGGGCGUGUAGGCGUCCCGACAAGUCAGAUGUGGAAGCCUUGGGCUUAACCCAAGAAUUGCAUUUGAAACUGUCGGGAUUGAGUCGUGCAUGGGAGGGCGGAAUUCCUGGUGUAGCGGUGAAAUGCGUAGAUAUCAGGAGGAAGGCCGGUGGUGAAGACGGCCCUCUGGGCAAUGACUGACGCUGAGGCGCGAAAGCGUGGGUAGCAAACAGGAUUAGAUACCCUGGUAGUCCACGCCCUAAACGGUGGGUACUAGGUGUGGGUGGCGAUAGUCAUCCGUGCCAAAGGUAAACCGUUAAGUACCCCGCCUGGGGAGUACGGCCGCAAGGUUGAGACUCAAAGGAAUUGACGGGGGCCCGCACAAGCGGUGGAGCAUGUGGUUUAAUUCGACGCUACGCGAAGAACCUUACCUGGGCUUGACAUGCAGGUGGUAGGAACCCGAAAGGAUAACGAUCCUGACUUCGGUCAGGAAGCCUGCACAGGUGCUGCAUGGCUGUCGUCAGCUCGUGCCGUGAGGUGUUGGGUUAAGUCCCGCAACGAGCGCAACCCCUAUCCUCUGUUGGUCUUAUAGAUCUCUCUGAGGAAACUGCCGGCGAAGAGCUGGAGGAAGGUGGGGAUGACGUCGAGUCCUCAUGGCCCUUAUGCCCAGGGCUACACACGUGCUACAAUGGUAGAUACAAAGGGUGGCCAACCCGCAAGGAGGAGCCAAUCCCAAAAAGUCUAUCCAAGUUGGGAUCGGAGUCUGCAACUCGACUCCGUGAACCUGGAAUCGCUAGUAAUCGUGGAUCAGCACGCCACGGUGAAUACGUUCCCGGGCCUUGUACACACCGCCCGUCACACCACGAAAGUCUGUUGUACCCGAAGUGGGUGAGCUAACCCCGAGCAAUCGAGGAGGCAGCCUCCGAAGGUAUGGCAGGUGAUUGGGGUGAAGUCGUAACAAGGUAACC
rnacentral:rRNA from 1 species